ensembl:lncRNA
CAACUCACUCAGCAGUCAAACAGGUUUUGUUAAGGAUCUGCUAGAGUUGAUGGAAAGCAUAAAAUUGUACAUUCAAAUGCAAUUUCCACAUACAAGUAAAUCUGACAAGCCCAGGCACGUGGACUUCUUAUUCCUGCUUUUGCGCCGGGCGUGUCCUUUCAUCGGAAGUUUCGGGAGGAUUGCUGGUAGAUCUCUUAUCUGUUGUUGGACAGGUAUGUUAAACUUUCAAUUUAUCCAUUACAUUUUAGUUAACCCGCUCUAAACGUAGCCACGUGCCCCACGUUCUGUGACUGUGAACUACGUUAUGGGGGGGGGGCUACAUGAUUAAAGCCAUCACCUGACAAGCUCCCCUCCCCCACAACUCCAUCUCUAACAACAGGCCAUUUCCUCCUGUCGUUGGAAGAUUUGAAAAGGAGAAGCUGGAUGGAAGCCAGGGGUUUGAAUAGGUUAGCUAAUAAAAGAAAAACAGGCAAAGGGAGGGUGUGUUGCUUAAAAACAUUUAAAUAGGUACUAUUUUUUUAAAGCGGAAAAGUGAGUACAUAACAACAGCUGAGGGACUAUAUAUAACGAGUUUGGUAAUUAUUAGCAAAUUGCACCAACCAGACAAGCAAUUUGUCAAGUCAGUGGAAGCAUAUAUCCCAGUAUGACACAUCAUUUGCCUACGAUGCUCUUACAAGAUUUAAAAAACAAAAACCACACAUACUCAAAAAUGAAAGCAAAACUAUGCAAGGGAACUUCAUCUGAUUCAAACUGAUUUUAUUUCUGUGGAACAUUUCACAAAAGCUCAGUGUCGAGCAUGUUAAAAACACAAUAUUGAACGGAUGAAAGAAAUAAUAGGUUCAUGUCUUUUAAUCUGUAUUUGCUCUACACGCUGAAUUCUAUGAAUUACAGUGUCGAUGGCCUUCAGACCUUUGGCUAUACUUUAAAAAAAAUUAAUCUCCAAUACCAAAAAGCAAGCAAACAAACAAACAAAAUGCUGAUUGGCUGAAUGACCAUAAAACUGACUAAAAUCGAUCUUGGCACUGCAGUCAAGCUUUUACCAACGUAGUGCUUACCACUCUUCUUCAGCUGCUUGUUUUUACAGCUCACUCCAAACAGUUUAACACGGUUAACUGAAGUUAAAGCAGUAGGUGUAGAUUUCAGACACCGGACACCGUGUUAUACACCCCCAUUCGACUGCUCCCUUCAGCUGAACGUCUUUUUUAUUCAUUUGUGUUCAUGAGAACAUGAAAUUAGCAAAAGGCUUAAUUAGAAAAAAAACUACUAUAACAUGUAUUCAGCUGUUGCAAUGCUUCUAUCUCUAGGGUAUGUGACUGGGCUGAAACACAAUCCUAGCCUAUGGGGAGCAUUGUGUCAGGAGUUGCAUCUGGUUUAAAAAUUCAAAUAUACAGAACCAUCUACUGCAACAGACAGCAGUCCACUUUUUUGAGAAACAAAGGAGCAACCCAAAAAAUGUUUUUAAUGCAUUUGUCGCCAUCAUAACAUGAAAUCAAAGAAGCCCUAUAUAGAAAAAAAUGCUAUAACAUUGCAGUCAGCAGUUGAACAGACUCUCAUCUGCUGUGCACUCAAAUGAAAAAAGAGGACAAUAUUUUCAAAAAGAGAAUAUUGUGCACUUCCACCCCUCAACUCCUCAAUAGCACAGCUGAAAUGUGCUUCAGUCCUAAAAAUCAUCAGAAACACAGCUGAAUAAAAACCCUGAACAUGUAAAAUCUUGUGGUUUAUACAUUAAUUCAUUAACAGGUGACUCAAUGUGCAUUUAAGCAGAUUACUUCCUCAAGCCAAGGACACAGAAGUACCAUGAUAUCACACAAUAGUCAUUAUCUCUCACUCUGAAACAGGAAAGAGGACCAUAGACUAUUGAUAGACGUAGCAGGAUCAACAGGGCUAUAUACUCUCUACUCACAAUGAGUCAAAUGUUGCAAAACUGAUCGGACAGCGCAAACAGAUAUUGACCGAAACUGCACCACCAAAGCAGCCCAAGAGAUGGUAAAGUGUGGGAUGUGAUAUUCUUCAAUGGUCAAGUCAGUCACCUGAUCUCAAUCCAACAGAUGAUUUUGAGUUAUUAAAUAAUAAAGUGAGAUCUGCAGCACCCACAAUGAAGCAGUAAUUCAAGGCAGCUGCAGUAAAGUGAAGAAGUCUCAAGUGAAUAUUUGGUUAUGAUUUAAAAGAAACUCACAUCUGUAAAAUUAUGUUAGGUUGUGGGGACUAUGUAUAAAAAUAGCUGUACUUCCUAAACAGUUGAUCCAAUUUUUUUUUAUCAAUCACACCUUUAUUGUUUAGUUUAUAAUCCACAUUACUGACUUCAGAAUACACACAAACUAACCAAACAAGUUUUUGUAGUUUAGUUCGUUUUAUAGAGCAACGUAAGGAAAUAACUCACUGGAACUCUUUAAAAUGAAACAAAUACCUUUGAAAUUUUAACAUAGUUUCAAAAAUACUCUAAUCACAGAUUUUAUAGUUUGCAUGAAACCUCAGCAUAUCACGUAGGACUUUUCCUCAUACAGUAAUGACUCACCUGAGGUCUUUUUUCCCAGAAUUGUUCUUUAUGAUUCUUGGAAGCAGGAUAAAGGACAUAAGGUUACACAGGGGUGAAACAAACAGACAUGUGAAGUGAAAUGCUGCCAUCUAAUGGUUAAAGCAAAUAGAACACAAAGCAGUUCUAUACACAGCCAUUUUAGCUCACUCUUUUACUAAAGCACCCAUGAGUAUAUGAUGCUGUUCAUAUAUUUAGAGGAGCUUGAAUAUUUAAGCACACGGUGUAUGUUAGGACUUAUUAUAUUCAUCAUUUAAAGUCAUGGGGUCACAUAUAUACAGGUAAAACAAAUGAAUGCUGUUUGGCCAAUUUUAAUCUUGAUGAUCGCAAACUGCGUUUUGUAAGCCUACUUCUUAUUUGCUAUUUUCUAGCAAACAUUAUGGAAAAAAAAAUGAAAGAGCCAGCAGUCAUUCCUGUUCCAUAAAGCGAUGGAGAAAUCAGCUAUGAUCUUAAACAAAUGGAAUGGCCUCUGCUUUUGCCUUCAGAAGUGCCUAAAUUUGUCAUAGCAUAGAUUCAACAAGGUGCUGGAAACAUUCCUGAGAGAUAUACAGCUUCGACAGUGAGUAUCCUAUUCCACCUCAAAAGUGCGCAAUUGGUGGCUGUGGAGGCCAUUUGAGUACAGUGAAAUCACUGUCCUGCUCAAGAAGCAGUUUGAGAUGAUUUGAGCUUUGUGACAUACUCGAAGCAGCCAUCAGAAGAUUGGUGCGUUGUGGUCAUAAUAGUACACAGGUAGGCUGUGGAGUUUAAAUGAUGCUCAAGCCGUAGUAAGGGGCCCAAAGAGAGGAAAGAAAAUAUCACCCACUCCAUUACCCCACUGCCCCCACAAUGGAUCCAUGCUUUUAUGUUGUUUAUGUCAAAUUCUGACCAUACAAUUACAGUGUCACAACAGAAAUACAGACUCAACGCAACGUUUUUAAAAAAUCUUCUAUUGUCCAGUUUUGCAUUGCAGACUCAGUUUCCUGCUCUAAGCUGACCGGAGUAGUCUUCUGCUGCUAUAACCAAUCUGCUUCUUCACAGAUGGUCUUCU